AAAGCGCACGUAGGCGGCUAUUCAAGUCAGAGGUGAAAGCCCGGGGCUCAACCCCGGAACGGCCUUUGAAACUAGGUAGCUAGAAUUCUGGAGAGGUCAGUGGAAUUCCGAGUGUAGAGGUGAAAUUCGUAGAUAUUCGGAAGAACACCAGUGGCGAAGGCGACUGACUGGACAGAUAUUGACGCUGAGGUGCGAAAGCGUGGGGAGCAAACAGGAUUAGAUACCCGAGU
rnacentral:rRNA from 1 species